GCUGAACAUAAUUGCUGUUUAAAGUUUAUCUCUAUCUAUAAUAAUUUUCAAGAUAAUAACCGAAAACGGACAAAAUUUCCUUAAAAUUACCAAUUCAGGGGCAGCAACCCAACAACCCAUUGUCUGAUUCAUCUGAAAAUUUCAGGGCAGAUAGAUCUUGACCUAAUAAAUAAUUUUAACCAUGUCAGAUUUGCUCUAAAUGCUUUGGUUUCAGAGUUAUAAGCCAAAAUAUACAUUUUACCCCUAUGUUCUAUUUUUAGCCAUGGCGGCCAUCUUGAUUAUUUUGGCGGGUCACCGGACACAAUUUUUAAACUAGAUAUCCCAAUGAUGAUUGUGGCCAAGUUUGGUUAAAUUUGGCCCAGUAGUUUCAGAGGAGAAGAUUUUUGUAAAAGUUUACGGACGACGGACGCCGGACGACGACG
rnacentral:lncRNA from 1 species